rnacentral:rRNA from 1 species
AAUCAACGCUGGCGGCGUGCCUAACACAUGCAAGUCGAACGAGAAAGUGGAGCAAUCUAUGAGUAAAGAAGCGGACGGGGGAGUAACAACGGACUAACCAGCACUACAGGGGGGGACAACCUCGGACAACCGGGGCUAAUAACGCAUAAAAUGAUGAUGGCAAGUAAGUUGACAUCAAAGGAGCAGUCCGCUCCAGGAGGGGGUCGCGGCUGAUUAGCCAGUUGGCGGGGUAACGGCCCACCAAAGCCAAGAUCAGUAGCCGGCCUGAGAGGGCGCACGGCCACACUGGGACUGAAACACGGUCCAGACUCCUACGGGAGGCAGCAGUGGGGAAUUUUGCACAAUGGGGGAAACCCUGACGCAGCGACGCCGCGUGAAGGAAGAAGUCCCUUGGGAUGUAAACUCCUUUCGAUCGGGACGAUAAUGACGGUACCGGAAGAAGAAGCACCGGCUAACUCUGUGCCAGCAGCCGCGGUAACAC